GGCGCGGCCAAUGGUACGCUGUUGAAACACCAAAGGCGCAAAAAACAUAACUUGAACUGCUGUGCGGGAUUACGGGCGAGACUCUCUGCUCGUCCCUCCAUCCCCGGGUGUUAUACCAGGCAUGCCGGGUGGCGGUCUCGCGGCCGGCCGCUCGGUGCCAUAACAUACCGCGAGUGUGCAGGAUGUGACCCGAAAGAUGGUGAACUAUGCCUGAUCAGGUUGAAGUCAGGGGAAACCCUGAUGGAGGACCGAAGCAGUUCUGACGUGCAAAUCGAUUGUCAGAAUUGGGCAUAGGGGCGAAAGACCAAUCGAACCAUCUAGUAGCUGUUUCCCUUCCGAAAAA
rnacentral:rRNA from 1 species